UGCACGAAUAGGCAGGCAAUCUGACGAC
rnacentral:piRNA from 1 species